UACGUAGGGUGCGAGCGUUGUCCGGAUUUAUUGGGCGUAAAGAGCGUGUAGGCGGCCAUGUAGGUCCGGUGUGAAAACUCGAGGCUUAACCUCGAGAUGUCAUCGGAAACCAUUUGGCUAGAGUCCGGGAAGAGGAGAGUGGAAUUCCUGGUGUAGCGGUGAAAUGCGCAGAUAUCAGGAAGAACACCAAUGGCGAAAGCAGCUCUCUGGGACGGUACUGACGCUGAGACGCGAAAGCGUGGGGAGCGAACAGG
rnacentral:rRNA from 1 species